rnacentral:rRNA from 1 species
AGGGCACCACCAGGAGUGGAGCCUGCGGCUUAAUUUGACUCAACACGGGAAAUCUCACCAGGCCCGGACACCGGAAGGAUUGACAGAUUGAGAGCUCUUUCUUGAUUCGGUGGGUGGUGGUGCAUGGCCGUUCUUAGUUGGUGGAGCGAUUUGUCUGGUUAAUUCCGAUAACGAACGAGACUCUGGCCUACUAACUAGAUGGAGGAUCCCUUCGUGGGUCCUUCACUGCUUCUUAGAGGGACGGGCGGCGUUUAGCCGCACGAGAAUGAGCAAUAACAGGUCUGUGAUGCCCUUAGAUGUUCUGGGCUGCACGCGCGCUACACUGAAGGAAUCAGCAUGUUCUCCCCGCUCUGAAAAGAGUGGGUAACCCGUUGAAACUCCUUCGUGAUGGGGAUUGGAGAUUGUAAUUAUUCUCCAUGAACGAGGAAUUCCCAGUAGGCGCGAGUCAUCAGCUUGCGUCGAUUACGUCCCUGCCCUUUGUACACACCGCCCGUCGCUACUACCGAUCGAGUGAUUUAG